rnacentral:rRNA from 1 species
UGGGGAAUUUUGGACAAUGGGCGAAAGCCUGAUCCAGCAAUGCCGCGUGUGUGAAGAAGGCCUUCGGGUUGUAAAGCACUUUUGUCCGGAAAGAAAUCCUUGGCUCUAAUACAGUCGGGGGAUGACGGUACCGGAAGAAUAAGCACCGGCUAACUACGUGCCAGCAGCCGCGGUAAUACGUAGGGUGCAAGCGUUAAUCGGAAUUACUGGGCGUAAAGCGUGCGCAGGCGGUUUGCUAAGACCGAUGUGAAAUCCCCGGGCUCAACCUGGGAACUGCAUUGGUGACUGGCAGGCUAGAGUAUGGCAGAGGGGGGUAGAAUUCCACGUGUAGCAGUGAAAUGCGUAGAGAUGUGGAGGAAUACCGAUGGCGAAGGCAGCCCCCUGGGCCAACACUGACGCUCAUGCACGAAAGCGUGGGGAGCAAACAGGAUUAGAUACCCUGGUAGUCCACGCCCUAAACGAUGUCAACUAGCUUGUUGGGGAUUCAUUUCCUUAGUAACGUAGCUAACGCGUGAAGUUGACCGCCUGGGGAGUACGGUCGCAAGAUUAAAACUCAAAGGAAUUGACGGGGUCAUAGCUG